rnacentral:misc_RNA from 1 species
CAGAAAACUGAUGUUAUGAAAUUACUGACUACACAUUUAAACGGGCACUACUUAAUUUCAGGAUGGGAGGAUUCUUGAGUUCAUGUUGUGGGGAUAAUGAUGGUUCUGAGUCAGGAGAUGAAGGAGAGAGAACCAGACUCAUCAGUGAGAACAGUCCCCAGCAAACAUAUAUUCCAGAGCUUAUUCAUGAUCAAGGAAGGAAUCUUCCAUUCUCAACUAGUCUUCCUAAGGUCAAUGAUGAGCAGAAUGCUUUGCAGAAUAUUCUUCAAGAUACUGCUGCUUCUGUUAUAGAUAUCAGUGCCAUAGAUCAUCAGCAUGUCGUUGAGCAGGCUGAUUAUCAAGAAAAAUCUGCCCUCUAUGGGAAAAGGUUGUCGAGUGUUGGUGUGAGACUCGCUGCGAAACAUGCUAGACCAAUGGGGAUGGUGGAUACACAAGGGGAUAUUCUUAAAGAUCUCUCAGAAGAACCAAUAGAACAGGAGGAUCUAGAGUUGAUUACUGAAAUUGCUUUAAUUGCGGAGAAAAAGGUUUCUGAGUUUAAGAUUGAACACCAGGAAGACUUAGUCGUGAAUUUUGGAGACGGGAAAUCAUCAUAGUCGUCUUAAUUACACUGUACAGUGCUUUUAUAAUUUACAACUACGAUAAGUGUGUUCCGACAGUACUGAUUCUGUACUUUGGGCCAAUAAUGUAGACAAGUUGAUCUGUGGUUUAAAUACAAUAUAUCCCAUAAUGUACGUACAAUAAACAUUUACAAUAUAUGAUAAAUUCCAUAAAUUAUUUUGCUAUCCAAAUUUUAAACUGUAAAUCUAUUAUUGUACAAUUUAUAAAAUGCUGAUAAAUAUAUUUAUGAAUUAUGC